rnacentral:tRNA from 1 species
GCCGAAAUAGCUCAGUUGGGAGAGGCAUUAGACUAUAGACCGAAAGUCCGUGACGUCCCUGGUUCGAUCCUGGGUUUCGGCA